rnacentral:misc_RNA from 1 species
AGAGCCUUUAUUACUGACAGAUAGGAAUCUGUAAGACCAGUAUACUUUCCAACCAUGGCAAUUCGGACCGGUUCAUGCAACAUAUCACAGAUAUCAGCCCUAGAAGUCCACUCCUUUAAGCUAGGCUCCCUUGUAGAACCUUGAAGAUUCAGCACUCUCAAAAUUGCUUCGUGAGCCUUCUGAUCUCUUAAAAGUAAAGGAAUG